CUUGAUAUUUGCAGUUGUCUCAGUUCAGUCCACAGCUGUUCUCAUUGAUUUCCAUCAUUUUGGGAAUAGAUGAUACUGAGAUGAGUUUUGAAGUGACUGUUGGGGUCUUCAACAAAACAUUGGAUGAAUUGGUCGGAUACUUGUGACACUUGAAGCUGGAUGUGAGGUUUCCAUAGUAGCCAUAUUCUUCCAUUUGCAGCCUUGGAGUAGUUGUAUUGAACAUUCCAUCCAUUUGCAAUCUUCAUUUGUAUGUGAUGAGCUUUAUGUUGCUUAAUUCUGGUUUCUAGAC
rnacentral:lncRNA from 1 species